CGAUAAAUCAUUCAAGUUUCUGCCCUAUCAGCUUUGGAUGGUAGUGUAUUGGACUACCAUGGCAGUCACGGGUAACGGAGAAUUAGGGUUCGAUUCCGGAGAGGGAGCCUGAGAAACGGCUACCACAUCUACGGAAGGCAGCAGGAGCGAAAAUUGCCCAAUCCCGACACGGGGAGGCAGUGACGAGAAAUAACAACUCUUGGUUAUUCUAAGAAGUGUAAUGAGGAUAAUUUAAAACCCUUACCGAAAGCAAUUGGAGGGCAAGUCUGGUGCCAGCAGCCGCGGUAAUUCCAGCUCCAAUAGCGUAUAUUAAAGUUGUUGCAGUUAAAAAGCUCGUAGUUGAAGUUCUGGCUGCUUGACCCUCGAGCUCUGUAGCCGAGGGCUCAGCAGUCAUCCGCUUGCAAAUAUAUGUUCGCCUUUAACCGGGCGGCUAUAUGAGUAAGCAUUUUACCUUGAGAAAAACAGAGUGUUCCAGGCAGGUUUGUCCGGAAUGCAUUAGCAUGGAAUAAUAGAAUAUGACUGAAGUCGAUUUAUUGGUUUGAGGCUUUUGUAAUGAUUAAUAGGAACAGUCGGGGGCAUUGGUACUUGUCAGUCAGAGGUGAAAUUCUAGGAUUUGACAAAGACUAACAAAUGCGAAAGCAUUUGCCAAGGAUGUUUUCAUUAAUCAAGAACGAAAGUUAGGGGAUCAAAGACGAUCAGAUACCGUCCUAGUCUUAACUAUAAACUAUACCGACUCGGAUUCAGAUGAAUCAUAAAGUUCAUUUGGGACCGUAGGAGAAAUCAAAGUUUUUGGGUUCUGGGGGAAGUAUGGUCGCAAGGCUGAAACUUAAAGGAAUUGACGGUUUUGCACCACCAUGGAGUGGAGUCUGCGGCUUAAUUUGACUCAACACUGGGAAACUCAUCAGGGCAAGAAGAUUGUAGGAUUGACAGAUUGAGAGUUCUUUCUUGAUUGGUCUAGUGGUGGUGCAUGGCCGUUCUUAGUUGGUGGAGUGAUUUGUCUGGUUAAUUCCGUUAACGAACGAGACCUUAACCUGCUAACUAGUACACCGAUGACAAAUCGGUGAUACUUCUUAGAGGGACUAUGUGAUGUAAUCACAUGGAAGUUUGAGGCAAUAACAGGUCUGUGAUGCCCUUAGAUGUCCUGAGCUGCACGCGUACUACAAUGGUGCUUUCAUCGAGCUUUUCCUGAUCCGAAAGGAUUUGGGUAAUCUUUUUAGUGAGCACCGUGCUUGGGAUAGAUCUUUGUAAUUAUGGAUCUUGAACUAGGAAUUCCUAGUAAGCACGUGUCAUCAGCACGU
rnacentral:rRNA from 1 species